AUUGAACGCUGGCGGCAUGCCUAACACAUGCAAGUCGAACGGUAACGCGGGGGCAACCCUGGCGACGAGUGGCGGACGGGUGAGUAAUACGUAGGAAUCUGCCCAUUUGUGGGGGAUAACCCGGCGAAAGCCGGGCUAAUACCGCAUACGCUCUACGGAGGAAAGCAGGGGAUCGUAAGACCUUGCGCUAAUGGAUGAGCCUACGUCGGAUUAGCUAGUUGGUAGGGUAACGGCCUACCAAGGCGACGAUCCGUAGCUGGUCUGAGAGGACGAUCAGCCACGGUGGGACUGAGACACGGCCCAGACUCCUACGGGAGGCAGCAGUGGGGAAUAUUGGACAAUGGGGGCAACGCUGAUCCAGCAAUGCCGCGUGUGUGAAGAAGGCCUGCGGGUUGUAAAGCACUUUCAGAGGGGAAGAAAAAAUCGGAGCUAACACCUCCGAGCUUGACGUUACCCUUAGAAGAAGCACCGGCUAACUCCGUGCCAGCCGCCGCAGUAAGAC
rnacentral:rRNA from 1 species